CCUGCCCAGUGACUCUGUUCAACGGCCGCGGUAUCCUAACCGUGCGAAGGUAGCGUAAUCACUUGUUCUUUAAAUGAGGACUAGUAUGAAUGGCACCACGAGGGUUACACUGUCUCCUUUUUCUAAUCAGUGAAACUAAUCUUCCCGUGAAGAAGCGGGAAUAAACAUAUAAGACGAGAAGACCCUAUGGAGCUUUAAACUUAAUAACACUUGCUUUUAAAUAUCUACACUUCAGAGUAAUAAACACCCAUUACGGCCUCAUGAUUAUUAGUUUUAGGUUGGGGUGACCGCGGAGUAAAAAACAACCUCCACAUUGAAUGGGAAAUACCCCCUGAGCUAUGAGCUACAACUCUACGCACCAAUAAAUUGACAUCUAUUGACCCAAUACAUUGAUCAACGAACCAAGUUACCCUAGGGAUAACAGCGCAAUCCACCUCAAGAGCUCCUAUCGACAGGCGGGUUUACGACCUCGAUGUUGGAUCAGGGUAUCCCAGUGGUGCAGCCGCUACUAAAGGUUCGUUUGUUCAACGAUUAAAACCCU
rnacentral:rRNA from 1 species